GAUGAACGCUGGCGGCGUGCCUAAUACAUGCAAGUCGAGCGAACGGACGAGAAGCUUGCUUUUCUGAUGUUAGCGGCGGACGGGUGAGUAAAACGUGGAUAACCUACCUAUAGGACUGGGAUAACUUCGGGAAACCGGAGCUAAUACCGGAUACUAUUUUGAACCGCAUGGUUCAAAAGUUAAGGACGGUCUUGCUGUCACUUAUAGCUGGCUCCGCGCUGCAUUAGCUAUUUGGUAAGGUAACGGCUUACCAAGGCAACGAUGCCUAGCCGACCGGAGAGGGGGAACGGCCCCACUGGAACUGAGCCACGGUACAGACUCCUACGGGAGGCAGAAGUAGGGAAUCGUCCGCACUGGGCGAAAGACUGACGGAGCAACGCAGCGUGAGUGAUGAAGGUCCUCGGAUCGUAAAACUCUGUUAUUAGGGAAGAACAUAUGUGUAAGUAACUGUGCACAUCUUGACGGUACCUAAUCAGAAAGCCACGGCUAACUACGUG
rnacentral:rRNA from 1 species